rnacentral:rRNA from 1 species
UACGUAGGGGGCUAGCGUUGUCCGGAAUCAUUGGGCGUAAAGCGCGUGUAGGCGGUUCGGCAAGUCCGCUGUGAAAGUCGGGGGCUCAACCCUCGAAUGCCGGUGGAUACUGUCGAACUAGAGUGCGGAAGAGGCGAGUGGAAUUCCUGGUGUAGCGGUGAAAUGCGCAGAUAUCAGGAGGAACACCAAUUGCGAAGGCAGCUCGCUGGGACGUAACUGACGCUGAGACGCGAAAGCGUGGGGAGCAAACAGG